rnacentral:rRNA from 1 species
CAGUCGCCGCGGGAAUACGUAGGGUGCAAGCGUUAAUCGGAAUUACUGGGCGUAAAGCGUGCGCAGGCGGUUAUAUAAGACAGAUGUGAAAUCCCCGGGCUCAACCUGGGAACUGCAUUUGUGACUGUAUAGCUAGAGUACGGCAGAGGGGGAUGGAAUUCCGCGUGUAGCAGUGAAAUGCGUAGAUAUGCGGAGGAACACCGAUGGCGAAGGCAAUCCCCUGGGCCUGUACUGACGCUCAUGCACGAAAGCGUGGGGAGCAAACAGGAUUAGAUACCCGCGUAGUCCCUGUCUCUUAUAC